rfam:Paenibacillus sp. FSL R5-0912, complete genome.
AACGAUCACUAGGGGUGCCGCAAGGCUGAGACGAACAUAUCUGUUCGGACCCUUUGAACCUGAUCUGGUUUAUACCAGCGUAGGGAAGUGGAGAAUGAAUAAU